rnacentral:rRNA from 1 species
UCGUGCUCGUGCUCGUGCUCAAGCCUAAUACAUGCAAGUCGAGCGGUAUUUGUCUUUCGGGACAGAGAGAGCGGCGUACGGGUGCGGAACACGUGUGCAACCUGCCUUUAUCAGGGGGAUAGCCUUUCGAAAGGAAGAUUAAUACCCCAUAAUAUUUAGAAUGGCAUCAUUUUAAAUUGAAAACUCCGGUGGAUAGAGAUGGGCACGCGCAAGAUUAGAUAGUUGGUGAGGUAACGGCUCACCAAGUCAGCGAUCUUUAGGGGGCCUGAGAGGGUGAUCCCCCACACUGGUACUGAGACACGGACCAGACUCCUACGGGAGGCAGCAGUGAGGAAUAUUGGACAAUGGGUGCAAGCCUGAUCCAGCCAUCCCGCGUGAAGGAUGACGGCCCUAUGGGUUGUAAACUUCUUUUGUAUAGGGAUAAACCUAGAUACGUGUAUCUAGCUGAAGGUACUAUACGAAUAAGCACCGGCUAACUCCGUGCCAGCAGCCGCGGUAAUACGGAGGGUGCAAGCGUUAUCCGGAUUUAUUGGGUUUAAAGGGUCCGUAGCCGGAUCUGUAAGUCAGUGGUGAAAUCUCACAGCUUAACUGUGAAACUGCCAUUGAUACUGCAGGUCUUGAGUGUUAUUGAAGUAGCUGGAAUAAGUAGUGUAGCGGUGAAAUGCAUAGAUAUUACUUAGAACACCAAUUGCGAAGGCAGGUUACUAAGCAACAACUGACGCUGAUGGACGAAAGCGUGGGGAGCGAACAGGAUUAGAUACCCUGGUAGUCCACGCCGUAAACGAUGCUAACUCGUUUUUUGGGCUUUCGGGUUCAGAGACUAAGCGAAAGUGAUAAGUUAGCCACCUGGGGAGUACGUUCGCCAGAAUGAAACUCAAAGGAAUUGACGGGGGCCCGCACAAGCGGUGGAUUAUGUUGGUUAAUUCGAUGAUACGCGAGGA